AGAGUUUGAUUAUGGCUCAGAACGAACGCUGGCGGCGUGCCUAACACAUGCAAGUCGGACGGAGUACAUUGUUGUAGCAAUACAGUAGUGUACUUAGUGGCGGACGGGUGAGUAACACGUAGGUAACCUACCCUUAAGAGGGGGGCAACCCCGCGAAAGCGGGGCUAAUACCCCAUAAGACCACGGGCGGAGACGUUUGUGGGAAAAGCCCCGAUGAAAAUCGGGGUGCUUAGGGAUGGGCCUGCGGCCUAUCAGGUAGUUGGUGGGGUAAAGGCCUACCAAGCCGAAGACGGGUAGCCGGGCUGAGAGGUUGGACGGCCACACUGGAACUGAGACACGGUCCAGACUCCUACGGGAGGCAGCAGUGGGGAAUUUUGCACAAUGGGCGGAAGCCUGAUGCAGCGACGCCGCGUGGAGGAUGAAGGCCUUCGGGUUGUAAACUCCUUUUGUAGGGGACGAUAAUGACGGUACCCUGCGAAUAAGCCACGGCUAACUCUGUGCCAGCAGCCGCGGUAAGACAGAGGUGGCGAGCGUUGUUCNNNAU
rnacentral:rRNA from 1 species